GUGCAGUCGACGGAUUAAGAGCUUGCUCUUUAGUUAGUGGCGAACGGGUGAGUAAUAUAUCGGAACAUAUCCGGAAGUGGGGGAUAACGUAGCGAAAGUUACGCUAAUACCGCAUAUGCCCCGAGGGGGAAAGGGGGGGAUUCGUAAGAACCUCUCGCUUUCGGAGUGGCCGAUAUCGGAUUAGCUAGUAGGUGAGGUAAAGGCUCACCUAGGCGACGAUCCGUAGCGGGUCUGAGAGGACGACCCGCCACACUGGAACUGAGACACGGUCCAGACUCCUACGGGAGGCAGCAGUGGGGAAUUUUGGACAAUGGGCGAAAGCCUGAUCCAGCCAUACCGCGUGAGUGAAGAAGGCCUUCGGGUUGUAAAGCUCUUUCAGCCGGAAAGAAAUUGCACUUCUUAAUACGAAGUGCGGAUGACGGUACCGGAAGAAGAAGCACCGGCUAACUACGUGCCAGCA
rnacentral:rRNA from 1 species